CAAGUGAAAUAAUGUCUUAAUACAGGGUACAGUUAUUGGUAGAUGUGGUAAUAUAGUGGUUAAGUUACUGGAUGAGUGCCAGAAUUCAGGAUAUUGAUCUGGAGAAAGUAGUUCAAAUUCCACCAUGGCAGCUGAGGAAUUUAAAUUCAAGUAAGUGAAUAAAAUUUGCAAUGUUCAUUUAAGAAAUGCAAUUUCAUAAAUGAAAUCUAUUAAACUAUUGAGCUGUUAUAAAAACUCAUCUGGUUCUACCAGAGAAGGAACCCUGCCAUACAAUGGCACAGUUGGUAGAGCAGUGGCCUCAACACGAGAGACCUGGGUUCAAUCCUGACUUAAGUUGCUCUUGGCGUGGAGUUCGCAUGUUCUCCCUGGGUCUACAUGGGUUUCCUCUUGGUGUUUUGGUUUCCCCCCACAUCCCAAAGACGGCGGGUUUGUGGGUUAAUUGGCGUCUAUAAAUGCCCAUGAUGAGUGGAGAAUUGAUGAGAAAGUGGGAUAACAUAGAGCUGGUGUGAACGGAUGAUUGAUGGUCAGUAUGGAGUGUGGCCGAAGGGCCUGUUUCCAUGCUGUAUCUCUAAACAAAGCUAAACUAAACCUUGUCUCGUUACUGCUUCCUCGGUUCAAGGGAAAUUAGUGAUGGUCAAUAAGUGCUGACAUUGGCAGUGAUUUCCAUAUCACAAAAUAAAUAAAAAGCAAAUUGCAGUGAUUAUCAAAGUAAAACUACUGAAAAAAAUCCAGUUAUCUAAUUUUAGUAUGGUCUUCUUUUCCAUAUUGGAUGCAUCAUAGGGGGUUAUACACUGCAGAAGUAGACCUUUCAACCCACCAUGUCCACAUAGACCACCAAAUGCACAUUUAUCCUAAUCCCAUUGCAUUUGAUUUGUCAUCUCCCAUGCCAUGGAGAUUGAAGUGGUUUUCCAGAUGCUUCUUAAAAUGCUGUGAGAGUAUAUACCUAAACUAUUCUCUCAAUCAUUGCAUUCCAGAUUCCAACCAUCUCUGGAUGAAAAAAAUCAUCCUCAGAACCAUUCUAAAUGGUUACCUCAUUCCAUCCAAGGACGUAAGAAAUUGCAGAGUGUUGUGGACGUAGCUCGGAGCAUCAAGCUAACCAACCUCCCUUCCGUUGACUCCAUGUGUACUUCAGGUUGCCUCGGCAAGGCCACCAGCAUAAUCAAGGACGAGUCUCACCACGGUCACUUCCUAUUCUCUCCUAUCAGGCAAGAGCUACUGCUCCGAAUGUGAUCUGAAUCCCAUCCUUUAAAGUUAUCAUUGGCUGUGGAAACUCAAGAAACCGUGUCAGGACAAUGUGGGAUCGUAUCUCCGGUUGCUCUGCGGCCUAACAUCGUGGUGCUGGAGGCCUUUCUUUGACUGACUGACUUUGAGCCCCACCACGGAGCGUGGACUUACCAUCAGAGCCAAAUCCUUGACUGGGACGCUCCAACGCUGCGGACUUUAACAUCAAGGAGCUUGCAGUCUCAGGUAAGAGACCGACGUCAGGAAGCUCCAAAACUGCACGACAUCCGACUAGCCCUGACCCGGGGUAGAUCACCUGACGCGGGAGAGCUGAGAUUCCCCCCCGAUGCAGUGGCUUGAUCGCCCUGAUGAGGAAGGCCCGCCGCCAGCUACAGGAGUAAGAUCGUCCCGUCAACGCAAGGUUUGAGGCCCCCGACCGCUGGAGGACAAAGAAGGGAAAGAUUGAACUUUUUUGCCUUCCAUCACAGUGAUGAAUGUGGAGGAGUCACAGUGGAGGAUGCUUAUGUUAAAAUGUAUUUUAUGUGUUCUGUUGUUUUUUAUUGGUAUGACUGUAUGACAAAUCAAAUUCCUCGUAUGUUGCAAAACAUACUUGGCUGAUGAAGUAUAAUUAUUAUGAUUAUGAUUAUGAUAACAAUGCCAGAGACCAUUUGAUCAGAUAGAGUGCCAAUACUUAUAUAAAGUACUACAAAAAUUUAACAUGGGAGAGAAUGUUAUAACAUGGGUAAAAUUAUUAUAUGAUAAACCGAUGGCAAGAAUUUUAACUAAUAACAUGUUAUCUCAAAAAUUUCAACUAUCAUGGGGAAAUAGGCAGAGAUGUGCAUUAUCACCCUUGCUAUUUACCCUUAUGAUAGAACCCCUGGCUGAAAGUAUAAGAAUUCAUCCGAAUAUUCAGGGCUAUAAUACCAGGGACUCAAAGAAUAAAAUCUCAUUAUAUGCAGACGAUAUACUUUUAUAUAUUACAAAGUCACAAACGAGCAUACCAAAUGUAUUAAACUUAAUAGAGAAAUUUGGGUCUUUUUCUGGAUAAAUAAACUGGAAUAAAAGUGAAAUCAUGACAUUAAAACCUCAAGAACCUCAAGAACCUACACACUUAUUGAAGUUCCCCUUUAAAAUCGCAACAGAAAAAUUUAAAUAUUUGGGUAUUCAGAUUACUAGAAAAUAUAAAGCAUUAUUCAACGCUAAUUUCAUACCUUUAUUAAAUAAACUUAAUACGCUGAUUACAUUUUGGAACACACUUCCCUUAUUAUUAGGUAGAAUAAAUUCAAUAAAAAUGAUCUUCCUACCACAAUUACUGUACCUAUUUCAGUCUAUACCGGUAUAUAUACCAAAAUAUUUUUUUUUAAAUUACUCUAAUAUUACUAAUUAUAUUUGGGACUAGAGAUCACAUAGAAUCACAAAAAAACACUUAUGUAAACCAAAAGAGGUCGGGGGACUUUCACUUCCGAAUUUUAUGUAUUAUUACUGGGCAGUGCAUAUUAAGAAUAUGAUUUAUUGGUUGGAUAGUUCUACCCAACAGACAGAAUGGAUAAAAAUGGAGAAAGAGGAUUGCCAUCCUUGUAAUAUAGGAACGAUCCUCUUCUCCCCAAAAAAACUGAAUAACACAAUAUAUAAGAAGAACCCAAUUAUAUAUGGUACAAUAAGAAUUUGGAAACAAAUAAAAUUAUCAUUAAAAUUAAGAAAUCUAUCAUUGUUAAUCCCAGUAACGAAUAACCCUUUAUUUAAACCAUCUCUUAUUGAUAUGAUAUAACCAAUGGGAAAGUCUCGGAAUUAGAAGGAUCGAGGAUAUGUACGAAAUGGGAAACCUACUAUCAUUCCAACAACUACAAUUAAAAUUUAAAUUGAAAAACAACCAAUAUUUUAAAUAUCUUCAGAUUUGCGAUUUCAUGAAAAAAUAUAUACAAGGAUAUCAAAAAAUAACCUCUGAAGUAUUGGAAGAAGCAAUGAAUAUUGAAGCUGACUCACAAAAAUUAAUAUAAUAUUUAUAUAAUAGUAUUCUAAAUAUAGACCUACCAUCGACAGAGGUACUUAGAGAAGAGUGGGAACGGGAACUAAUGAUAAAAAUCUCGAAGGUUACAUGGGAAAAAUACUUGAUAUAUAUUCACAAAUCUUCAAUUAAUGUAAGACAUAAUCCAAAUCAAUUUAAAAUUGUACAUAGAUUAUAUUAUUCAAAAACAAGAUUGAACAAAGUUUAUCCAAAUAUAUUCACCACUUGUGAUAAAUGUCUAGCCCAAAAUGCAACUAUAACACACUCCUUAGUUUCCUGCAUAAAACUUUAUAGAUUUUGGAAUGAUAUUUUUGAAAUAUUUACAAAAUUAUUCAAGACAAGAAUGGAACCUAAUACUGAAAUGAUUAUAUUUGGCGUAAUGGAAGAUGGGAAUAAAUUGAACACAUCUCAAAAUCUAUUCUUUAACUAUGGUUUAAUAAUAGCAAAAAAAUGAAUACUUAAAUUUUGGAAGGGUACAUCAAUACCAACGCUUAAAAUGUGGAUUGCAAGUAUGUUGGACACCGCUCAUCUUGAGGAAACGCGAUUCCUCCUAAUGGAUAAAUCAGACCAAUUCAUAACGAGUUGGUCUCCAUUCGUCGUUUUUUUGGAAUCAUAUGGUGCAACACAAUUGUAAAAAAUAACUGUUUCAGGACUGGACGAGGGUUGGUCAAGAUUAUAAAUAAUGAUCUCUUUUUUUUCUUUUUUUUUUAAUUUUAUUUUAUUUUUUCUAUUUUCUCUUUCUCAACUUUCUUCAUUUACUCGUUUUCUUUCUUCACACACUAUAUAUUUCACAUCUUUCUAUCCUUUACUAUCUAACUUAUUUUUCUUAUUCUAAUCUUUUUUCAAUGUAACAAAAAAAAAAAGUUGUACAUAAAAUGUAUUAUGAAAAUAUAUAUUAGGCACUUCGGUGCCAUAUGA